UGCCCCUGAAGGUCCGUCGAAGACUACGACGUUGAUAGGCUGGGUGUGUAAGCGCGGUAACGCGUUGAGCUAACCAGUACUAAUUGACCGUGCGGCUUGGCCAU
rnacentral:rRNA from 1 species